rnacentral:piRNA from 1 species
UUAGACAGCAUUCACUUGCGCAA